AAGUUUGAUCCUGGCUCAGGAUGAACGCUAGCGACAGGCUUAACACAUGCAAGUCGAGGGGCAGCAUAGAAGUAGCAAUACUUUGGUGGCGACCGGCGCACGGGUGAGUAACGCGUAUGCAACCUACCUAUCAGAGGGGAAUAACCCGGCGAAAGUCGGACUAAUACCGCAUAAAACAGGGGCACCGCAUGGUGAUAUUUGUUAAAGAAAUUCGCUGAUAGAUGGGCAUGCGUUCCAUUAGGUAGUUGGUGAGGUAACGGCUCACCAAGCCUACGAUGGAUAGGGGAACUGAGAGGUUGGUCCCCCACACUGGUACUGAGACACGGACCAGACUCCUACGGGAGGCAGCAGUGAGGAAUAUUGGUCAAUGGGCGAGAGCCUGAACCAGCCAAGUCGCGUGAAGGAAGAAGGAUCUAUGGUUCGUAACUUCUUUUGCAGGGAAUAAAGUGCGGGACGUGUCCUGUUUGUAUGUACCUGAGAAUAAGAUCGCUAACUCGUGCCAGCAGCCGCGUAAUACGGAGGAUCCGAGCGUUAUCCGGAUUUAUUGGGUUUAAAGGGUCCGUAGGCGGACUUAUAAGUCAGUGGUGAAAGCCUGUCGCUUAACGAUAGAACUGCCAUUGAUACUGUAAGUCUUGAGUAUAUUUGAGGUAGCUGGAAUAAGUAGUGUAGCGGUGAAAUGCAUAGAUAUUACUUAGAACACCAAUUGCGAAGGCAGGUUACCAAGAUAUAACUGACGCUGAGGGACGAAAGCGUGGGGAGCGAACAGGAUUAGAUACCCUGGUAGUCCACGCCGUAAACGAUGCUAACUCGUUUUUGGGCUUUAGGGUUCAGAGACCAAGCGAAAGUGAUAAGUUAGCCACCUGGGGAGUACGCUCGCAAGAGUGAAACUCAAGGAAUUGACGGGGCCCGCACAAGCGGUGGAUUAUGUGGUUUAAUUCGAUGAUACGCGAGGAACCUUACCAGACUUAAAUGGGAAUUGACAGUUUAGAAAUAGAACUUUCUUCGGACAAUUUCAAGUGCUGCAUGGUUGUCGUCAGCUCGUGCCGUGAGGUGUUAGGUUAAGUCCUGCAACGAGCGCAACCCCUGUCACUAGUUGCCAUCAUUCAGUUGGGGACUCUAGUGAGACUGCCUACGCAAGUAGAGAGGAAGGUGGGGAUGACGUCAAAUCAUCACGGCCCUUACGUCUUGGGCCACACACGUAAUACAAUGGCCGGUACAGAGGGCAGCUACACAGCGAUGUGAUGCAAAUCUCGAAAGCCGGUCUCAGUUCGGAUUGGAGUCUGCAACUCGACUCUAUGAAGCUGGAAUCGCUAGUAAUCGCGCAUCAGCCAUGGUGCGGUGAAUACGUUCCCGGGCCUUGUACACACCGCCCGUCAAGCCAUGGAAGCUGGGGGUACCUGAAGUCGGUGACCGUAAAAGGAGCUGCCUAGGGUAAAACUAGUAACUAGGGCUAAGUCGUAACAAGGUAACC
rnacentral:rRNA from 1 species